rnacentral:rRNA from 1 species
GACGAACGCUGGCGGCGCGCUUAACACAUGCAAGUCGAACGGAAAGGACAUGCGUUUGCUUUUUGUUCCUUUGGCGCACAGGGGAGUGUAACGCGAGUGACAUGCCCUCUGCUGUGGGGUACAAUCGGUGGACACGACCUAUAACACCAUAUAAGCUCAUGCUUCAUGGUGGGGGUUGGAGAGAUUCGGCGGUUGGGGUUGGACUCGCGGCUCAUCAGCUUGUUGGUGGGGUAGUGGCUUACCAAGGCUUUGACGGGUAGCCGGCCUGAGAGGGUGACCGGCCACAUUGGGACUGAGAUACGGCCCAGACUCCUACGGGAGGCAGCAGUGGGGAAUAUUGCACAAUGGGCGGAAGCCUGAUGCAGCAACGCCGCGUGCGGGAUGACGGCCUUCGGGUUGUAAACCGCUUUCGCCUGUGACGAAGCGUGAGUGACGGUAAUGGGUAAAGAAGCACCGGCUAACUACGUG